AAAUUAAGUUUUUUAAAUAAAAAAAGCAUAUCAUUGAUUAAUUACUUUUUGUACAAGUAGUUACUGAUGGAUUCAUGUUUGUAUGCUGUCAUGCUUGUGAUCGAAUUGCUCAUGCAGAUGGAGGUUAGCACUUUCAAAAUGGACUAUAUAUAUAAAAGCCUUAAAAGGUUUAACGAUCAGAGUGUCAGAGUGGGUCAGAUCAGGUUGCCAGCAUUAGUUUGUUUUUUAGGAAUGGCUGCUAGCAUUAAAUAUGGUUUAAUAAAAACUAACUACUUAGAUAAUAAUCUGUCGUCUAACUUUGGCAGAUCAUGACGCUCCGAAGUCGAAGUAUGACUCUAAAACUUCAUGGUAAAAAUGGCCGUGAUGUUGGAAAUAUAGGUUCAAUAACUGCAUAUAGAGGAAACCAUUGCUUCUAAAACGGCUAUGGCUGUUACGAUGGGAUUCCGAUGUUUAAACUUUGAUAACAAGAUAUGCUUGCGAAACUGAAGGACUUGGAGCACUUUUAGAAUGGAUAUGCUUGCGGACCCAUACUGGUAUUAAUCGAUUCGGUUUGGUUAAAAAAUGACUUGGUCAAGAAAAGUAUUUUUCCGAUUUAAACAGGUUUUCUAAAACCAGUUUCAAAAAUCGAGAGGUAUGGUUUGGUUAUUUUUAAAAAAGUUGGUGGUGAAAUCUAGGACAUUAUCGUAUAAGAUUGUGAUUCUUUUUAAUUGAUCUGAGUGUUUAUGUCUCAACUUAAGACUCUAAUUAAUCGACUAAUUAAGUAAAAAAUUUCAUAUAUCCUUAACUCUUGUAAAAAUGGUAGGCUAUGUGCCUCAUUGGAGACAAAGAAAAUGUACACGAUCAAGAAUGGUAACCGAUAUACAAACCAUCAGUUCAGUUUGGGCUAAAAGCGUGCCAAGUAGUGCGUUCUACGGCGGGAUAUGGCGACUUGCAUAAGAGGAAUCCGAACACACUUCGGCGGCCUCCCUUAGCGGUGAUGGCUGGUGGUUUCUAUCCGGAUGGUGAUGAUGACGAACGGUGGUGGUGGUUCGAGCAAGUGGUGGUUGGAAAAAAUUGGAGGUCGGAGUGGCGGUGGUUGCGGGUGUAGUUUGCGGCGGUGGUGUUUCAGCGUGGAGGGUGCGAACGGUGGUGGUCAAAUCGGAUGUGGGGGUUGUUGCUCUAAUAGUAUCUUAGAUCCAUUAAUCUUAUGUUGUUUUGUUAAUUCCAUCCAACCUCUAUAGGUGUGGGGUGGUGUUCUUUUAGGUUUAUCGGCUAGGCUGAUGUUUUGAAUCCUAUGUUGUUUUGUUAAUUCCAUUCAACUUCUUCUUGUGCUAA